UCUGCCCACUAGACUAAUAUUGACAACACUGCCUAGCAACAACCCCACAGGCUCUCAAGAAAAAUCUUUUCCAUCACUUCAUGCCUUAGUUCCUUUAAGUGUAGAUAGACAGAGGAUUUCUGCAGAAUCUGACCAUUAAGAUCAAUCCUCUCUCCAAGUUCCAUCUUACAUUUCAUCUUUUCAAAAAAUUACACUGUGAAAUAUUAUUAUAUUGUCAGCUUUCCUUGAAUAACUGAUUAGUGUCACUGAAAUAAGAGUAAGAAAUUUAGGUUCAAGCAACCUCUUUAGCAUGACCUUUUUAAAAUGUCACGGAAAACUUCACUGAACACACAUUAUAUAAGUUUGCUGAUCUGUAGACUCUUCUUCGCGUGCCUUUAACUCAGACAGUAUCCACGGUUCUAUAGCACCCACUGUCUUAAGGAACUUUCUGGAGUUAACAGUAGCAAAUAUUCUUCCAUUUAGAAAUGACUUCAAUUUAUUCAGUCCUGCAUUUCCUGAAAGUAAGUGUGAAUCCAGGGUUAGCAUAUCAGGGAAAAAAAUUUCCUGGAACAAUAUGGUCAUAUUAAAGCAUAGAUAUGAAAUAGUUUCUUCAGUAUAGAUACACCCAUACAUACACAUAAACUUUUUCUAUAUAUAUACUUUUCCUCAGGCACCAUUUGGGAUGCAAGCUGCAUAUGGAUAUCCUCUAGAAACUCUAAUUUUUGUUCCUGGGUAUUCCCUUGGAAUAAUGGUCUUCUGCAAUCACGUGAUUUUGCUGUGGGCAUUUUUAAUCUGUCGCUUGGUUCUCACCAUUGAUGCUCACAGCGGCUAUGAUAUUCCUCUGAAUCCUUUACAUUUGUUUCCUUUUUAUGCUGGGGCUCGCAUUCAUGACUUCCAUCAUAUGAACUUCACUGGCAAUUACUCCUCAACAUUCACAUGGUGGGAUAAACUCUUAGGUACUGAUUCUCAAUAUAAGUCUCACACAGAGAAAGGGAAGAAACAGGAACGCACAGUGGAAAAGAAGAUGGAAUAAAUCUCCCAUUUGCAACACUGUUUGCAGCAUCCAAGAGGCAAAUGGCUCCCAUCUUACUUUUGAUUAAAACUAGAAAACCUAACACAUAUUACAAUUCAAAGCAAAAUACAGCUUUUAACAAACCGCCAAGCUUGGGUAUGCAGCAGGAAAAAAUGUUCAUUGAUGCAUUUUCCAAAUGAUUGUGCUUUUUCUAUCCUGUACUUAAGUCAAACAGAUACAGUAUAUAUUGA